GCCUGGGUGGCUUAGUCCAUGAAGCGUCUGACCUCGGCUCAGUUUUGAUCUUGCGGUUUGUGGGUUCGAGCCCCACAUCAGGCU
rnacentral:tRNA from 1 species